rnacentral:snoRNA from 1 species
AGGGUGGAAGAUGAAGAACUCGUGGCGUAUAUUCUCACAGGGCUUGGCGACGAGUUUGAGUCCGUUGUGUCUGCUGUCUCCACUCGUGUUGAGCCCAUCUCGGUCAAUGAGCUGUAUGCGCAGCUUGUGGCCUUCGAGC